GCCGCCACCACCACAAACCCCUGGAAUGGAUCUUCCUGAUUAUCAACUUUUUCAGGGCAAGAAUUUAACAAAUGCUGAAGAGAAGCGCCAUGCGGACGGGACCUUCACCAGCGACGUGAGCUCGUACCUCAAGGACAAGGCCAUCAAGGAGUUUGUCGCCAAGCUCAAGUCCAGAAAAGUCCGAAGAGAGUAGGCUGACCGUCCCUCCCUCGCCUCCUCCUCCUCCUCCUCUUCCUCCUAUAGCACCAACACACUCCAACCCCCGUGUCUGAUUCCACCUGGACGACAGAGACAGAAACAAAGGAGCUAAUCGACUCCUCCUCGUGCCUCCUUUCCCUUCCUUUGUUUUUUUUGUCUUUCUUCGUUCUCCCACACCCUUCAUGUUCCUUGUGGUCGUACUCAAAUAAAUCACCUGAACUUCU